rnacentral:rRNA from 1 species
UACGUAGGGGGCAAGCGUUAUCCGGAUUUACUGGGUGUAAAGGGAGCGUAGACGGCUGUGCAAGUCUGAAGUGAAAGGCAUGGGCUCAACCUGUGGAAUGCUUUGGAAACUGUGCAGCUAGAGUGUCGGAGAGGUAAGUGGAAUUCCUAGUGUAGCGGUGAAAUGCGUAGAUAUUAGGAGGAACACCAGUGGCGAAGGCGGCUUACUGGACGAUGACUGACGUUGAGGCUCGAAAGCGUGGGGAGCAAACAGG